rnacentral:sRNA from 1 species
UCCAGGUUGAGAAGUGCCUGGCGGUGGGUGCCCUGACGGAGCAGGCGGGACUGCUGUUGCACGUGGCCAACCUGGCCGCCAUUCUGUGUUUCCCAGCGACUGUGGUCUUACUGGUUGAGUCUGUCACUCCAGUGGGCUCCCUGCUGGUGCUGAUGGCGCACACCAUCCUCUUCCUCAAGCUCUUCUCCUACCGCGACGUCAACUUGUGGUGCCGCAGGGCCAGGGCCAAGGCUGCCUCUGCAGGGAAGAAGGCCAGCAGUGCUGCUGCCCCGCACACCGUGAGCUACCCGGACAAUCUGACCUACCGCGGUGAGGACCUCUGUGGGGCUGAGGUGCGGGGGACAGGCUGGGCCUGUUCUGGCACCAACCCCCCAUUCCCAUUCCAGAUCUCUACUACUUCCUCUUCGCCCCCACCUUGUGCUACGAGCUCAACUUUCCCCGCUCUCCCCGCAUCCGGAAGCGCUUUCUGCUGCGACGGAUCCUUGAGAUGCUGUUCUUCACCCAGCUCCAGGUGGGGCUGAUCCAGCAGGUAAGUGGGGUAGGGCAGGGCUGGGUGCAGCUGGGCACGGUUGGGAGCUGACAUGGUGCCCUCCUUUGCAGUGGAUGGUCCCCACCAUCCAGAACUCCAUGAAGCCCUUCAAGGACAUGGACUACUCACGCAUCAUCGAGCGCCUCCUGAAGCUGGCGGUCCCCAACCACCUCAUCUGGCUCAUCUUCUUCUACUGGCUCUUCCACUCCUGCCUGAAUGCCGUGGCUGAGCUCAUGCAGUUUGGAGACCGGGAGUUCUACCGGGACUGGUGGUGAGUGGCCCUGGGGUGUCCCUGGGGGCUGGGAUGGGCCAUGGUGUGCUCUGAUCCCCCUGUGGUCUCUUGGCCCCUAGGAACUCCGAGUCUGUCACCUACUUCUGGCAGAACUGGAACAUCCCUGUGCACAAGUGGUGCAUCAGGUAGGUGAGGUGUGUGUGUGUGAUGUGGAACAUGGCUGUGAACCUGACCCCUUUCCACACUCCCCCUCUGCAGAAACCACGUGGUGUGUGCGUGUGACUGUGGAACAUGGCUGUGAACCUGAACCGCUUUCCAUGCCCCCUCCUCUGCAGGCACUUCUACAAGCCCAUGCUUCGACGGGGCAGCAGCAAGUGGAUGGCCAGGACAGGGGUGUUCCUGGCCUCGGCCUUCUUCCACGAGUACCUGGUGAGCGUCCCUCUGCGAAUGUUCCGCCUCUGGGCGUUCACGGGCAUGAUGGCUCAGAUCCCACUGGCCUGGUUCGUGGGCCGCUUUUUCCAGGGCAACUAUGGCAACGCAGCUGUGUGGCUGUCACUCAUCAUUGGACAGCCAAUAGCCGUCCUCAUGUACGUCCAUGACUACUACGUGCUCAACUAUGAGGCCCCAGCGGCACAGGCCUGAGCUGCACCUGAGGGCCUGGCUUCUCACUGCCACCUCACACCCGCUGCCAGAGCCCACCUCUCCUCCUAGGCCUCGAGUGCUGGGGAUGGGCCUGGCUGCACAGCAUCCUCCUCCUGUCCCAGGGAGGCCUCUCUGCCCCUAUGGGGCUCUGUCCUGCACCCCGCAGGGAUGGCGACAGCAGGCCAGACACAGUCUGAUGCCAGCUGGGAGUCUUGCUGACCCUGCCCCGGGUCC